rnacentral:rRNA from 1 species
AAACAUCUUUUCUCGUUAGUUUUUGAAGUAUGGCCUGCCCACUGACUUUUAUGUUGAAGGGCCGCGGUAUUUUGACCGUGCAAAGGUAGCAUAGUCAUUAGUUCUUUAAUUGUGAUCUGGUAUGAAUGGCUUGACGAGGCAUGGGCUGUCUUAAUUUUGAAUUGUUUAUUGAAUUUGGUCUUUGAGUUAAAAUUCUUAGAUGUUUUUAUGGGACGAGAAGACCCUAUAGAGUUUAACAUUUAUUAUGGUCCUUUUCUGUUUGUGAGGGUUCACUGGGCCGUAUAGUAUGUUUUGUUGGGGUGAUGGGAGGGAUUUAUUUAACCCCUCCUUUAGGUUGUUAUAUUUAUUUAUAUUUACUUGAUCCAUUUAUUUUGAUUGUAAGAUUAAAUUACCUUA